AGACCUGGACCCUCUCUUUCAGGUGUCUUCAGACCUGGACCCUCUCUUUCAGGUGUCUUCAGACCUGGACCCUCUCUUUCAGGUGAGCAGAGGCACAAAACCCCUCGAUCCUGCGGAGAGGGAAUACUCGGAGCCUCGAGGGGGAAACAUUAAAGGAACACUUUGACAUUCUGGGGAAACGUGCGUAUGUUCACUUUCUUACAGGGAGAUAGAAGCUGUAGCAGGUAAGCUUAGCUUAGCAUAACA